rnacentral:rRNA from 1 species
UGCAGUCGAACGCUUCUUUUUCCACCGGAGCUUGCUCCACCGGAAAAAGAGGAGUGGCGAACGGGUGAGUAACACGUGGGUAACCUGCCCAUCAGAAGGGGAUAACACUUGGAAACAGGUGCUAAUACCGUAUAACAAUCGAAACCGCAUGGUUUUGAUUUGAAAGGCGCUUUCGGGUGUCGCUGAUGGAUGGACCCGCGGUGCAUUAGCUAGUUGGUGAGGUAACGGCUCACCAAGGCGACGAUGCAUAGCCGACCUGAGAGGGUGAUCGGCCACAUUGGGACUGAGACACGGCCCAAACUCCUACGGGAGGCAGCAGUAGGGAAUCUUCGGCAAUGGACGAAAGUCUGACCGAGCAACGCCGCGUGAGUGAAGAAGGUUUUCGGAUCGUAAAACUCUGUUGUUAGAGAAGAACAAGGAUGAGAGUAACUGUUCAUCCCUUGACGGUAUCUAACCAGAAAGCCACGGCUAACUACGUGCCAGCAGCGCCGGUAAUAA